GAUGAACGCUGGCGGCGUGCCUAAUACAUGCAAGUAGAACGCUGAAGGAGGAGCUUGCUCUUCUGGAUGAGUUGGGAACGGGUGAGUAACGCGUAGGUAACCUGCCUGGUAGCGGGGGAUAACUAUUGGAAACGAUAGCUAAUACCGCAUGACAACAGUUAUUGCAUGAUAACUGUUUAAAAGGGGCAACUGCUCCACUACCAGAUGGACCUGCGUUGUAUUAGCUAGUUGGUGAGGUAACGGCUCACCAAGGCGACGAUACAUAGCCGACCUGUGAGGGUGAUCGGCCACACUGGGACUGAGACACGGCCCAGACUGCUACGGGAGGCAGCAGUAGGGAAUCUUCGGCAAUGGACGGAAGACUGACCGAGCAACGCCGCGUGAGUGAAGAAGGUUUUCGGAUCGUAAAGCUCUGUUGUAAGAGAAGAACGAGUGUGAGAGUGGAAAGUUCACACUGUGACGGUAUCUUACCAGAAAGGGACGGCUAACUACGUG
rnacentral:rRNA from 1 species